rnacentral:rRNA from 1 species
GAUGAACGCUGGCGGCGUGCCUAAUACAUGCAAGUCGAGCGAACAGAUGAGGAGCUUGCUCCUCUGACGUUAGCGGCGGACGGGUGAGUAACACGUGGAUAACCUACCUAUAAGACUGGGAUAACUUCGGGAAACCGGAGCUAAUACCGGAUAAUAUAUUGAACCGCAUGGUUCAAUAGUGAAAGACGGUUUUGCUGUCACUUAUAGAUGGAUCCGCGCCGCAUUAGCUAGUUGGUAAGGUAACGGCUUACCAAGGCAACGAUGCGUAGCCGACCUGAGAGGGUGAUCCGCCACACUGGAACUGAGACACGGUCCAGACUCCUACGGGAGGCAGCAGUAGGGAAUCUUCCGCAAUGCGCGAAAGCCUGACGGAGCAACGCCGCGUGAGUGAUGAAGGUCUUCGGAUCGUAAAACUCUGUUAUUAGGGAAGAACAAAUGUGUAAGUAACUAUGCUCGUCUUGACGGUACCUAAUCAGAAAGCCACGGCUAACUACGUG